GUGCACGCUGGCGGUAGGCCUAACACAUGCAAGUCGAACGGCAGCACAGUAAGAGCUUGCUCUUACGGGUGGCGAGUGGCGGACGGGUGAGGAAUACAUCGGAAUCUACUUUUUCGUGGGGGAUAACGUAGGGAAACUUACGCUAAUACCGCAUACGACCUACGGGUGAAAGCAGGGGAUCUUCGGACCUUGCGCGAUUGAAUGAGCCGAUGUCGGAUUAGCUAGUUGGCGGGGUAAAGGCCCACCAAGGCGACGAUCCGUAGCUGGUCUGAGAGGAUGAUCAGCCACACUGGAACUGAGACACGGUCCAGACUCCUACGGGAGGCAGCAGUGGGGAAUAUUGGACAAUGGGCGCAAGCCUGAUCCAACCAUACCGCGUGGGUGAAGAAGGCCUUCGGGUUGUAAAGCCCUUUUGUUGGGAAAGAAAAGCAGCAGGUUAAUACCCCGCUGUUCUGACGGUACCCAAAGAAUAAGCACCGGCUAACUUCGUG
rnacentral:rRNA from 1 species